UACGGAGGGGGCUAGCGUUGUUCGGAAUUACUGGGCGUAAAGCGCACGUAGGCGGCUUUGUAAGUUAGAGGUGAAAGCCCAGGGCUUAACCCUGGAAUUGCUUUUAAGACUGCAUCGCUAGAAUCGUGGAGAGGUGAGUGGAAUUCCGAGUGUAGAGGUGAAAUUCGUAGAUAUUCGGAAGAACACCAGUGGCGAAGGCGACUCACUGGACACGGUAUUGACGCUGAGGUGCGAAAGCGUGGGGAGCAAACAGG
rnacentral:rRNA from 1 species